CCCAAGUACCCCGCGGGGCCCACCACCCCGCGGCCCCUUACCUUGGCCUGGCAUUUCCGAUGACAGGAGAAGCUGCAAGCUGCAAGGGGCGAGGCAGAAAGAAAGUUUUAGCCGCGAGACACAGCCGGGUACACAGCGAUGCCAAGGAGACCCCCUGACCCAGGCUGCCAACACGCACCAUUUCAUGGGAGACCUUCGGAGUCCACCCGACACAGACAUGCGCUGGAGCGCGCGAGCGCGCGCGAACACACACUCACGACUCGCUCCCUCCUCCCACUACCAGAAGCUGGAAUCAAAUUUCCUAUCAGGUUCCCAAAGCCUGGAAUGUCCCCAGCCCUGCCUCUCCACCCCCUAGAGCCCUGGAACUCCUCCGAGGCAACUGGCUGCCUCGCUCCUCCCUCCCCACCCCACCACCCCACCUUUCUUGUCAAGGGUUGGGCUGAGGAGGUCUUCCCAGCUAGUUUCUGGGCCAAUUUGGAUCUUGGUGGCUGCCCGGGACCUGCUGAGGUCGGUGGAUCAGGCACUGCUUAGAGAACCUGGGCAGGAAAGAAGGGGAGCCACUCUGACCCCCGGACCUUAGCCCCAGCCCAGGGCAGUGGCCAGCUUGGCCCUUCUGUCCCAUCUACAGCAGCUCACCCCAUCCAUCCUCCAGCUGACCUGAUCUCAGCAGAGCACCACGGAGGGACCGAAGUGCAGAUUCAGGCUGGAGCAGCCCAGGGGCUCCAGCCUAUGACUCAGCCAGUGAUGAGCAAGGCUUUCCUGACCCCAGUAGCCACCCAGCCCCACUCAGCCCCAGGGAACGUGAAAUGGAGAAGGCCUCUGCCACCUGACCUGAGUUUGGAAGAUCCUCACUGCCACCAGUCUGAGGGAGCUUCCUCCAUCAUCACCAUCUGGAUUCCCACCCUCCUUCAAGAAAGGGAUCUGUGUGUGUGUGUGUGUGUGUGUGUGUGUGUGUGUCAGAGUAGUACCUGCUACACAGCAGAAGCUUAAUAAGUGUGUGCUGAGUUGAACCUGACAGAUCUCCCCUAGAGUUUAUAUUUACCUCAUUAAAUCACCUUG